AAGAUAACUGUGUUAUCUCAGGUCAAUGAAUUAUAUGUACUAUUAUGAUCAAGAUGAUUAUGUAUUGACAAGAGUAAACUCUAUAUACAUGUUAUCUUAUGUCAUUGGUUUGGCCUACUUAUUAUAUAAGUGCCUACUUUGUUUAUUACAUGGCAUGAGACUCACCAUUUCAUAUCAUUAGUAUCUGAUACUAAUCAAUGGGAACAAACAAAUAUGACGGUUUAUAUAGAUAAAUCUUCUCCUCUCUAGUAUCCAAAACUGUAAUCUGUAAUUUAUAGUACUUGUACUAGAAUGCUCUGUCACUCAUAUUCUUAACACUUUAAGAAUGAAAUAUCUAAUAAGUUACUAAAUGAUAUUUUCAAUUAAAUUUAAAUAAUUUAAAGUUAAAAGAAAAAAAAAAUGCCAUUAAAAGGUAAUAACCAUUUACAAGUUAUAAAUUUCACUAUAUGCUAUAGGGCAUACCACUAACAGUAAUAUUUAAAAAUUAUUUAUAUUAUUUUUUAUAAAAUUAUUUAUGUAAAAA
rnacentral:misc_RNA from 1 species